rnacentral:rRNA from 1 species
UCGGGAAUUUUGGGCAAUGGGCGAAAGCCUGACCCAGCAACGCCGCGUGAAGGAUGAAGUAUUUCGGUAUGUAAACUUCGAAAGAAUAGGAAGAAUAAAUGACGGUACUAUUUAUAAGGUCCGGCUAACUACGUGCCAGCAGCCGCGGUAAUACGUAGGGACCAAGCGUUGUUCGGAUUUACUGGGCGUAAAGGGCGCGUAGGCGGCGUGGUAAGUCACUUGUGAAAUCUCCGAGCUUAACUCGGAACGGUCAAGUGAUACUGCUUUGCUAGAGUGCAGAAGGGGCAAUCGGAAUUCUUGGUGUAGCGGUGAAAUGCGUAGAUAUCAAGAGGAACACCUGAGGUGAAGACGGGUUGCUGGGUUGACACUGACGCUGAGGCGCGAAAGCCAGGGGAGCAAACGGGAUUAGAUACCCCCGUAGUCCCUGAGCGGGCUGGCAAGGCGCAU